rnacentral:lncRNA from 1 species
CUUGUGUUUAUUUCCUACACAUGGGUAGGUUUGGUCUUGUUAUUGGACAUUUAUUUCAUAUAAAUGGUUAAUUUUGAUUAAUGGUUGUUUCAUGGCUUGGAAACAAGAAACUUUGAAUUGUUUCUUUCCAUGUGAAACUAUCUUUCCAUGGACUAAGAAAAGUUGUUUGUCGAGAGCUCAAGGGCUUACGAAUAUUAUAAAGUGAAGCAAUUUGUAUCGAAGAGUAAUCCUCUGCUGUGAAGUGUUCAUCCCACUGAAGCUUCCAUUGAGCACCAUGGACUAAGGAAAGAUUUUUUGUCGAAAACUAUUUGGAUUAUUUGAUGGUUAAAUAUCUAGGAAACUGCAGAAAAUAGUGUAUCAAAGAGUAAUCCUUCAUGAAGUAGCCAUCAUCGAAAGAUUAAUUCUUUGUCUAACAGUAACCAGACAUUUCUUGGCAAUUACAGAAGCAGUGAUGAUUGCCUUCACAAACGUAAUUGCCACAUCAAUAAGCACCAAAAAAAAUGAAAUGCAUAUUGCGUGAGUGUCUGAUCAGCGGUUUUACGAUUUCACCGGAAACAAUAAUUUGCUGGACGUCUUCGCCAAUUUUGAUCCGACAUUUACUUUCGUCGGAGUUAUCAAUGGAGCUCCAUUACAUCUCGCUCUUUACGUUUCGCUCGUCUCGUAACUGUCGGGUCGCCGAUAACGAAACCAACAAUUUGGUGACAUCAAAUUAACAUGUUUACAGAAGCAAGACAGUCUCAUUUUCUCAUAUGUUGAAUAAGUUUAUUGUAAGUGUAUCUCAACUACUUUUCAACGAAUUUAUUCCGCCAGCCCUCAUACAUACUGAGAAGUGGUCGAUGCUUUCGUAUU